CGACUACUCCCUCUGUCCCAAAUUUCUUGUCUUAGAUUUGUCUAGAUACGGAUGUAUCUAAUACUAAAAUGUGACUUGAUACAUCCGUAUCUAGACAAAUCGAAGACAAGAAUUUUGGGACGGAGGGAGUACUUA
rnacentral:pre_miRNA from 1 species